rnacentral:rRNA from 1 species
AACGAACGCUGGCGGCAUGCCUUACACAUGCAAGUCGAACGGUAACAGGUCUUCGGAUGCUGACGAGUGGCGAACGGGUGAGUAAUACAUCGGAACGUGCCCGAUCGUGGGGGAUAACGAAGCGAAAGCUUCGCUAAUACCGCAUACGAUCUACGGAUGAAAGCAGGGGACCGCAAGGCCUUGCGCGAACGGAGCGGCCGAUGGCAGAUUAGGUAGUUGGUGGGAUAAAAGCUUACCAAGCCGACGAUCUGUAGCUGGUCUGAGAGGACGACCAGCCACACUGGGACUGAGACACGGCCCAGACUCCUACGGGAGGCAGCAGUGGGGAAUUUUGGACAAUGGGCGAAAGCCUGAUCCAGCCAUGCCGCGUGCAGGAUGAAGGCCUUCGGGUUGUAAACUGCUUUUGUACGGAACGAAAAGACUCUGGUUAAUACCUGGGGUCCAUGACGGUACCGUAAGAAUAAGCACCGGCUAACUACGUGCCAGCAGCCGCAGUAACAC